AAUGACAGCAGUGAAAUAUCUAAUUUCACGCAAAUACAUAUUCAGUUCUAUUUUGUGGAGGGAUAAAGCAGCAAUGGGAAAGUAUGUAUAAGCUGGUAGAUGAGGCUUGUGAUCAGAGCCUUUCAAGGUGAGAGUGCAAUGUGAAGGUAACCAUUGUGUCCAGAUGAUGACAAAUGACUAGAGGACAAUGGACAGAAAUGUUUAAAGGCAGCCAGCCAGUUGUUCAUCUUCAUGAAGAAAAAGUGUUGGGAACUCAGAAAGGCCUAAAGGGAUAAAAACUGGAACUAAAUUAAUUAACCUCUGCUAUACAGAUCCUCAGUUCCCCCCCCUCCAGCAUUUCAAAAAAAUGGAUCCUUCAUGCAAAUUAUGGACCAGAAGGGAAAAAAAACCCUAGAUGAUUUAUCCAGUGAUUUCAUUAACCCCAGACCUCAUCUAAGCACACCUCCUAAAACCUUCUGCCUUCUUCUGAAUGAUGAUCUCUAUUCCCUAAUGCCAGCAGGAGGAGUCGAUUAGGUCAUGGGAG